CCGGAGCUUAANUCCGUGUAUUGCAGUGGGUACGGGCAGACUAGAGUGCAGUAGGGGAGACUGGAAUUCCUGGUGUAGCGGUGGAAUGCGCAGAUAUCAGGAGGANCACCGAUGGCGAAGGCAGGUCUCUGGGCUGUAACUGACGCUGAGAAGCGAAAGCAUGGGGAGCGAACAGGAUUAGAUACCCUGGUAGUCCAUGCCGUAAACGUUGGGCACUAGGCGUGGGGAACAUUCCACGUUUUCCGCGCCGUAGCUAACGCAUUAAGUGCCCCGCCUGGAGUACGGCCGCAAGGCUAAAACUCAAAGAAAUUGACGGGGGCCCGCACAAGCGGCGGAGCAUGCGGAUUAAUUCGAUGCAACGCGAAGAACCUUACCAAGGCUUGACAUAUACUGGACCGCAUCAGAGAUGGUGUUUCCCUUCGGGGCUGGUAUACAGGUGGUGCAUGGUUGUCGUCAGCUCGUGUCGUGAGAUGUUGGGUUAAGUCCCGCAACGAGCGCAACCCUCGUUCUAUGUUGCCAGCACGUUAUGGUGGGGACUCAUAGGAGACUGCCGGGGUCAACUCGGAGGAAGGUGGGGAUGACGUCAAAUCAUCAUGCCCCUUAUGUCUUGGGCUUCACGCAUGCUACAAUGGCCGGUACAGAGGGUUGCGAUACUGUGAGGUGGAGCUAAUCCCUAAAAGCCGGUCUCAGUUCGGAUUGGGGUCUGCAACU
rnacentral:rRNA from 1 species